UACGUAGGUGGCAAGCGUUGUCCGGAUUCAUUGGGCGUAAAGCGCGCGUAGGCGGCUCGGAAAGUCGGUCGUGAAAUGCCGGGGCUCAACCCCGGGACUGCGUCCGAUACUUCCGGGCUGGAGGUAGGUAGGGGAGAUCGGAAUUCCUGGUGUAGCGGUGAAAUGGCGCAGAUAUCAGGAGGAACACCGGUGGCGAAGGCGGAUCUCUGGGCCUUACCUGACGCUGAGGCGCGAAAGCUAGGGGAGCGAACAGG
rnacentral:rRNA from 1 species